AGUGAACGCUGGCGGUAGGCCUAACACAUGCAAGUCGAACGGCAGCACAGUAAGAGCUUGCUCUUACGGGUGGCGAGUGGCGGACGGGUGAGGAAUACAUCGGAAUCUACUUUUUCGUGGGGGAUAACGUAGGGAAACUUACGCUAAUACCGCAUACGACCUACGGGUGAAAGCAGUGGAUCUUCGGACCUUGCGCGAUUGAAUGAGCCGAUGUCGGAUUAGCUAGUUGGCGGGGUAAAGGCCCACCAAGGCGACGAUCCGUAGCUGGUCUGAGAGGAUGAUCAGCCACACUGGAACUGAGACACGGUCCAGACUCCUACGGGAGGCAGCAGUGGGGAAUAUUGGACAAGGGGCGCAAGCCUGAUCCAGCCAUACCGCGUGGGUGAAGAAGGCCUUCGGGUUGUAAAGCCCUUUUGUUGGGAAAGAAAAGCAGCAGGUUAAUACCCCGCUGUUCUGACGGUACCCAUAGAAUAAGCACCGGCUAACUUCGU
rnacentral:rRNA from 1 species